CUAAGGUCCCAAAGUCAUGGUUAAGUGGGAAACGAUGUGGGAAGGCCCAGACAGCCAGGAUGUUGGCUUAGAAGCAGCCAUCAUUUAAAGAAAGCGUAAUAGCUCACUGGUCGAGUCGGCCUGCGCGGAAGAUGUAACGGGGCUAAACCAUGCACCGAAGCUGCGGCAGCGACGCUGAUGCGUUGUUGGGUAGGGGAGCGUUCUGUAAGCCUGCGAAGGUGGCCUGUGAGGGUUGCUGGAGGUAUCAGAAGUGCGAAUGCUGACAUAAGUAACGAUAAAGCGGGUGAAAAGCCCGCUCGCCGGAAGACCAAGGGUUCCUGUCCAACGUUAAUCGGGGCAGGGUGAGUCGACCCCUAAGGCGAGGCCGAAAGGCGUAGUCGAUGGGAAACGGGUUAAUAUUCCCGUACUUGGUGUUACUGCGAAGGGGGGACGGAGAAGGCUAUGUUGGCCGGGCGACGGUUGUCCCGGUUUAAGCGUGUAGGUGUGUGUUCCAGGUAAAUCCGGUUCACUUUAACACUGAGGCGUGACGACGAGGCACUACGGUGCUGAAGCAACAAAUGCCCUGCUUCCAGGAAAAGCCUCUAAGCAUCAGGUAACAUCAAAUCGUACCCCAAACCGACACAGGUGGUCAGGUAGAGAAUACCAAGGCGCUUGAGAGAACUCGGGUGAAGGAACUAGGCAAAAUGGUGCCGUAACUUCGGGAGAAGGCACGCUGACACGUAGGUGAAGUGAUUUACUCAUGGAGCUGAAGUCAGUCGAAGAUACCAGCUGGCUGCAACUGUUUAUUAAAAACACAGCACUGUGCAAACACGAAAGUGGACGUAUACGGUGUGACGCCUGCCCGGUGCCGGAAGGUUAAUUGAUGGGGUCAGCGCAAGCGAAGCUCCUGAUCGAAGCCCCGGUAAACGGCGGCCGUAACUAUAACGGUCCUAAGGUAGCGAAAUUCCUUGUCGGGUAAGUUCCGACCUGCACGAAUGGCGUAAUGAUGGCCAGGCUGUCUCCACCCGAGACUCAGUGAAAUUGAACUCGCUGUGAAGAUGCAGUGUACCCGCGGCAAGACGGAAAGACCCCGUGAACCUUUACUAUAGCUUGACACUGAACAUUGAGCCUUGAUGUGUAGGAUAGGUGGGAGGCUUUGAAGUGUGGACGCCAGUCUGCAUGGAGCCGACCUUGAAAUACCACCCUUUAAUGUUU
rnacentral:rRNA from 1 species